GACGAACGCUGGCGGCGCGCCUAACACAUGCAAGUCGAACGAGCGAGAGAGAGCUUGCUUUCUCGAGCGAGUGGCGAACGGGUGAGUAACGAGUAAGGAACCUGCCUCAAAGAGGGGGACAACAGUUGGAAACGACUACUCAUACCGCAUAAGCCCACGGCUCGGCAUGGGGCGGGGGGAAAAGGCGCAAUCCGGUUUGAGAUGGCCUCGCGUCCGAUUAGCUAGUUGGUGGGGUAACGGCCCACCAAGGCGACGAGCGGUAGCCGGACGGAGAGGUUGAACGGCCACAUUGGGACUCAGACACGGCCCAGACUCCUACGGGAGGCAGCAGUGGGGAAUAUUGCACCAUGGGGGAAACCCUGAUGCAGCGACGCCGCGAUGAGGAAGAAGGUCUUCUGAUUGUCAACUCCUGUGGUUGGGGAAGAUAAUGACGGUACCCACCAAGGAAGCGACGGCUAACUACGUG
rnacentral:rRNA from 1 species